UACGAAGGGGGCUAGCGUUGCUCGGAAUCACUGGGCGUAAAGCGCACGUAGGCGGCUUUCUAAGUCAGGGGUGAAAUCCUGGAGCUCAACUCCAGAACUGCCUUUGAUACUGGAGAGCUUGAGUCCGGAAGAGGUGAGUGGAACUCCGAGUGUAGAGGUGAAAUUCGUAGAUAUUCGCAAGAACACCAGUGGCGAAGGCGGCUCACUGGCCCGAUACUGACGCUGAGGCACGAAAGCGUGGGGAGCAAACAGG
rnacentral:rRNA from 1 species